ensembl:snRNA U6 U6 spliceosomal RNA
UUGCUUUAGAAGCACAUACACUAAAAUUGGAAUGAUAUAAAGAUUAGUGUGGCCCCUGAGCAAGGAUGAUAUGCAAAUUCAUGAAGCAUUCCGUAGUUUU